rnacentral:rRNA from 1 species
UACGGAGGGUGCUAACGUUGCUCGGAAUCAUUGGGCGUAAAGCGCACGUAGGCGGCCCGGUAAGUCGGAUGUGAAAGCCCUCGGCUCAACUGAGGAAGUGCAUUCGAAACUGCUGGACUUGAGUACGGGAGAGGGAUGCGGAAUUCCCGGUGUAGAAGUGAAAUUCGUAGAUAUCGGGAGGAACACCAGUGGCGAAGGCGGCAUCCUGGACCGAUACUGACGCUGAGGUGCGAAAGCGUGGGAGCAAACAGG